rnacentral:lncRNA from 1 species
UGGGGAACGGGGAGGAGGGGAUCGUGGUAUGUAGGUUAUCAAAAGCUCAAAGAAAUCCAGGUCCUGUCUGAAUCCCUGCUCAGAGAUGGAAGGAGGCAAUGAAAAGGCUGAAGAAAUUUUUCUCAAGGUUGUUUACCAGUUGGGACAGUGGGCAGGCACGUACUCUGUUUCUCUGUCUGCUCAGGCUGCCCUCGGGGCCAGCAGGAAAAUCACUCUCCCCUCACUUGUUUUUACCCAAAGCCUCCAAAGGAAAGAUUUGAGAGAUCUUGUUUUUUCACAGACUUGGAUAGUGUCUCCUUCUGUAAUCCAGAAAGCAGAUGUUUUUGGACGGGGCUUGGAAGCAAGAUGCUGAAGACCAGAGCCUGUGAUGGAAAAGGUGCAUUCCUGCCCAGCCGCUCAGGACACUGCCCCUUUGUGACCGACUCACCUCUCUUGGUCCUGUAUCUAUGACCUUCCAUCACUGUUUGGAGCCAUUGCAAGUGUGAGCUUGAUAAAAACAUCAAUUCCCAGCCAAGAUCCUGAGUUGUUUUGACAGUUCUCUGAUCAUUGCCAGAACUGUAAAGGAAUAUUCUGUUUUAAAUCUCCUGAAAAAAAAAAAAAAGGUACAGAUCUCAAGUUGUUGAGGUCCUGAUUGUGUAAUAAUCAGUAAAUUGUUACCUAUGGACCUCCUUUGUACAUUGCAGGAAAGAGGAGCCAGGAUGAAGGGCAGAAUGUGCAGGCAGAAGCCCAGGACUCCGUGUAACAUAUACGUUGUGUUCAACCACUGACACCCACUGCAGUGUGGAUGUUUAGUCAAAGUUGCACAUUGAGGAUAAUGACAAUAAUGAGAAUCCAUGAAGGAGAGAGUUUUGCAAGAUGGAAUGUUGGAAUGUUGGGCAAGCCCCUAAAAUAAAGUUACAGU